AUUUUUAUGAACACCUGGAUAUUUUAUUUAUAAUUUUUGGAUUUAUAAAAUUAAAGAUAUUGAUUUUAUAAUUGUUUAAAUAUUCAAAUAAUAUUCUAAAAUCCUUCUAUUAAUUUUAAAUAUAUAAAAAUAUCAUGGGGGCCCAUUGUGCACAUGGGCCCGCCAUAUUUUUUUUAGCAGGUGGGGCCCAUGAGUGCCUCCCUUGGGUGGCACGCCCCACCCUUAUUCUCUUUCCUAUUUUUUGGUGAUAUGACAUGUGGCCAUAUGGUUGGAAGACAUUGACUAAAUAUUAACUUGAUCUAUAUCUUUGAAAGAUUUUGUGGAAAGAUUGAGUAGACUUGUGCUAUUUAUGGUACGCACAAUAUUUUGAUUAGAUUUAAGUUAUUUAAUUUCUAUUGAUGGGAAAAUGGUUUAGAAAAAA
rnacentral:lncRNA from 1 species